UCUUGCUGGCUGUGUGGUUUUGGGUCAUUUGCUUUGUCUCUUGGCUGUUUUUCUGUUAAGGGAAGGGCUGGCCAGUCAGGAGCUUUCUGGCUGUGGCUGUCCAGUGGUCAGACAUUCUUGCUGAGCAAGCAUCACCAAUGCUUUUGUCCCUGUUGGGCUGUGCUUGCCAGGGAGAUGUUUGACUCAUCUUUUUCUCAGGCUCUGUGACAUCCAGAGCAGGAUUUAUCCCUGCCAGCUGGUCUAUCCACGAGCGAAUCCUCUUUUUACAAAUCUUCUAGAAGAACAAUUGCCUCCAGAGAUGAGGGGAGUUUUGUCUGACUGUGUAAUUCAGUGCAUUUGCUGGCUGUCCGUGUGAGACCUCCACCCUACAUCGAAGCUCUGCUUGUCAAGGAAUGGGGCUUGAGGUCUGCUUUCCACCUCAACUGUCCUUUGUGAUUUCAUCAGCAGCAUUCAAGGAACAGUUCUCACCCCUGCUCAGCCCUGCUCCCCACUGCCUGGAAGCCCAGUUUCUCCGUCCUCACUGAGCUCCCGGAGACCCGUCCAGGUAGUUAGGGUCCUGAAUCCUGCAAUGAGUUUGAUUCACUGAGCCUGUCAGGAUGUAAGGAAGCUCAAGGAACAUGGAGAAGCUGCGUAGAAACACUCUGGUCAAAAGCUGAGCCACUGGAUCAUCCCAUACCUGGCGGCAGGUAUAUUAGUCUAGGAUAAAAGCCUCCGAAUAACUCCAGGCUCUGCUUUUCUGGUCUUUCCAGCUAAUACCCCAUAUACAGUGGAGUAGAAGGCCUUCCUGAUGUGCUAGUCUUUAUUCUCAGCUCACAGAUAUAGCUAUUGUUGAAGGCUGUUGUUUGACAGCAGUACAUUCUGGGGCAGCCAGUCAGCAAUGCUUCAUCCAGGUAUGUACAGAGUCCACCUCUUUCUCCUGCCACCACUGACUUGUCCUUAGUGAUCUGUCUCAUAGAUCCUCAGCGCUCCAUUAAAUGAACAGGGAAAGUAUUCAAGACAAGAAGGCAUGAAAACAAUCUGGCGCUGCUUCCUAGAGCUCCCAAGUAUGCAACGAUUGUCCAUGAAAUUGUGAAAAAAUUUUAUUUUCUCCAUGUCACCAAGGUGAACUACCUGAUACAACUGACUUCUGAAGAGAAAAUUUUUAAUCUAUUUUCUUCCUUUGAGAUAAAAUCUUACUAUAGAUCUCUGGUUGGUCUGCAACCUACUAGGUUGCUCAGAUAGGCCUUGGAUUUGAGAGUGAUCCUCCUGCAUCAGCCUUCCUAGUUCCAUGGAUGGCUCAAAAUGUUUUUUCUUUUAAAAUCAUGCUUCUGGAUGUUCCCAUGACUUUGGGUCUCAGCUUUGGGAGGACUUGGUUACAGACAAAAAGGCUGUCUCAUGAACAAAAAGACAGAGAAAAGGAAAUAUCACAGGCCCACGUUCUCCUCUAAGAUAUGCCUUCAGUGAUGGAAAGACCCCUCCCCCUCGAGGCACCGGUUCCUAUAGGCCCCACCACAUCCUAACACCACCAGCCACAACAGAUCUUUGAGGGAGAUUUACUGACCAUAGCAGUAGCUUUGCUGUGUCACCUCAAACUGCAAAAGUUACAGCCACAGUCCAUGAUAAACGUUUAGUUAAGAUGGAAAGGGUGGCCAGGCAUGGUGGUACACAGUUCCAACUUCAGCACUGAGAAACUAACGUAGGAAGGUGGAGAAUUCAAGGAUAGCCUAGGCCACAUAGUGAGUUAGUGGCCUACCUAGUGAGACCUUUUCUCAAAAUGCCCUCCUAUCAAACUGCAUGGAAAGGCAUUAAAGUUGUAUAUGUUGGGAUAGUAAAGAAACAUGAUAUCUGUAUAUAUGAGGGGUUUGGUAUCUCCAAAGUUCCAAUUAUUCAAUGAGAAUCUUGAAACACAGUUCUCAAAAUAAAGAGUAACCAAU